UCCACCAAUCACAAGCCUCCCGGU
rnacentral:siRNA from 1 species